rnacentral:rRNA from 1 species
GAUGAACGCUGGCGGCGUGCCUAAUACAUGCAAGUCGAGCGAACAGACGAGAAGCUUGCUCCUCUGAUGUUAGCGGCGGACGGGUGAGUAACACGUGGAUAACCUACCUAUAAGACUGGGAUAACUUCGGGAAACCGGAGCUAAUACCGGAUAAUAUAUUGAACCGCAUGGUUCAAUAGUGAAAGACGGUAUUGCUGUCACUUAUAGAUGGAUCCGCGCCGCAUUAGCUAGUUGGUAAGGUAACGGCUUACCAAGGCAACGAUGCGUAGCCGACCUGAGAGGGUGGUCGGCCACACUGGAACUGAGACACGGUCCAGACUCCUACGGGAGGCAGCAGUAGGGAAUCUUCCGCAAUGGGCGAAAGCCUGACGGAGCAACGCCGCGUGAGUGAUGAAGGUCUUCGGAUCGUAAUACUCUGUUAUUAGGGAAGAACAAAUGUGUAAGUAACUGUGCACGUCUUGACGGUACCUAAUCAGAAAGCCACGGCUAACUACGUG